rnacentral:piRNA from 1 species
UUGAUAUUUUUUAUUUUAAGC